GGUACUGGGCUAAUGGUCGGAUACUUGGUAGUGUGGAUGAGCAGAGGGAUCUUGGUGUCCAUGUACACAGAUCUCUGAAAGUUGCCACCCAGGUAAAUAGUGCGGUGAGGAAGGCAUAUGGCGUACAGGCUUUUAUUGGUAGUGGAAUUGAUUUCCAGA